rnacentral:rRNA from 1 species
GAUGAACGCUGGCGGCGUGCCUAAUACAUGCAAGUCGAGCGAACAGACGAGGAGCUUGCUCCUCUGACGUUAGCGGCGGACGGGUGAGUAACACGUGGAUAACCUACCUAUAAGACUGGGAUCACUUCGGGAAACCGGAGCUAAUACCGGAUAAUAUAUUGAACCGCAUGGUUCAAUAGUGAAAGACGGUUUUGCUGUCACUUAUAGAUGGAUCCGCGCCGCAUUAGCUAGUUGGUAAGGUAACGGCUUACCAAGGCAACGAUGCGUAGCCGACCUGAGAGGGUGAUCGGCCACACUGGAACUGAGACACGGUCCAGACUCCUACGGGAGGCAGCAGUAGGGAAUCUUCCGCAAUGGGCGAAAGCCUGACGGAGCAACGCCGCGUGAGUGAUGAAGGUCUUCGGAUCGUAAAACUCUGUUAUUAGGGAAGAACAAAUGUGUAAGUAACUAUGCACGUCUUGACGGUACCUAAUCAGAAAGCCACGGCUAACUACGUG